rnacentral:rRNA from 1 species
CGAGGAAUCUUGGUCAAUGGGCGCAAGCCUGAACCAGCGACGCCGCGUGGAGGAUGAAGGCCCUCGGGUUGUAAACUCCUUUUGGGUGGGAAGAAGCUCUGACGGUACCACCCGAAUAAGCCCCGGCUAACUACGUGCCAGCAGCCGCGGUAAUACGUAGGGGGCGAGCGUUGUCCGGAUUUAUUGGGCGUAAAGCGCGCGCAGGCGGUUCGUUCAGUCCGUUGUGAAAGCUCCUGGCUCAACUGGGAGAGGUCUUCGGAUACUGGCGGACUCGAGGGAGGCAGAGGAAGGUGGAAUUCCGGGUGUAGUGGUGAAAUGCGUAGAGAUCCGGAGGAACACCAGUGGCGAAGGCGGCCUUCUGGGCCUUUCCUGACGCUGAGGCGCGAAAGCGUGGGGAGCGAACCGG